UACGGAGGGUGCGAGCGUUGUUCGGAAUCACUGGGCGUAAAGGGCGUGUAGGCGGUCCGCUAAGUCUGAUGUGAAAGCCCGGGGCUCACCCCCGGAAGGGCAUUGGAAACUGGCAGACUCGAGUCCCGGAGAGGAGGGUGGAAUUCCGCGUGUAGCAGUGAAAUGCGUAGAUAUGCGGAGGAACACCGAUGGCGAAGGCAAUCCCCUGGGCCUGCACUGACGCUCAUGCACGAAAGCGUGGGGAGCAAACAGG
rnacentral:rRNA from 1 species